GGUGUGGCAUAGAGGUUUGAGUUUUGGACUACAACUCUGAAGACCAGGGUUCAAUUCCCAGCUCAGCCA